AUGUAGGUUAAAAUAACUUUUGAAAUGGAUAAAUUAUUCUAAAAGAAAUGGAUUCUAGAUGGUUUCCCUUUCAAAUCAUAUGGGAUUUUU
rnacentral:pre_miRNA from 1 species